rnacentral:lncRNA from 1 species
GGGCGUGAUUGCACCUCUGCUGCUCUGCUAUCUCGGGUGCUCAAAGAGACAAGGAUCCUAACCCGGCAUGGGGCUAAUAAGAGCGUGUUAUCUGUAUGCAAACCCCUGGGAAAUAGUCGUAAUUGUCUUCGUUUAUCCACAGACCACUGUCUCACAAUCCUGUAGUUUCUCCAUUUGACCAGUUUCCUGAGGCUUGGAGAAGAGAUCCUCUCCAGAGAUUAUCCAGAUGGGUCUCAUGUAACCAAGUUGGCCUCAGACUCUUGGACCUUGGACUUCUGUCCUGUUUCCAUCUCUGGUGCUCAGGUUUCGGAACUCACCAUCUUCCUACCUCUGUUUCCCAAGUAUCUUGUGUAUGGGCUGCUGCACCUGGCUGACAUGGUAUCUCAGUUUGUGUUUCUAUUGCUGUGAAGAGACACCAUGGCCACGGCAACAUA